AGUGUUUAUGGGCUCCAUCAUCAAACCUGGUCCUGCGACACAGAUGAUCACACAGCAGGUAAUCGCUAUAAAUCGUUGAAAAGUUCCCUCGACUAUCUUUCGUCUCCAUCAUCAGACUGAAAUGGCACUUAUAACUCAUAUAUAUGCAAAGUUCUCAUCAAUAGAAACGAAUUAAGUUCAAACAGCAGGGAAUUGCUAUAAGUCGUUGAAGAGUACCCUCGACUAUCUUUCGUCUCCAUCAUCAGACUGAAAUGGCACUUAUAUCUCAUAUAUAUGCAAAGUUCUCAUCAAUAAAAACGAAUUAAGUUCAAACAGCAGGUAAUUGCUAUAAAUCGUUAAAGAGUUCCCUCGACUAACUUUUGUCUCCAUCAUCAGACUGUAAUGGCACUUAUAACUCAUACAGGUGCAAAGUUCUCAUCAAUAGAAACGAUUUAAGUUCAAAAAGCAGGUAAUUGCUAUAAAUUGUUGAAGAGUUCCCUCGACUAUCUUUCUUCUCCAUCAUCAGAUCGACUCCAGACCUUUAUUAAAUAGUAGUACUUUAUAGUACUUAAUGAAAACAUGAUUAAAUUUACUAGUCACCCUUACGAUUUUUGAAAGUUUCCCUCGAUUUCUCUGGGAU
rnacentral:misc_RNA from 1 species